rnacentral:rRNA from 1 species
AUUGAACGCUGGCGGCAGGCUUAACACAUGCAAGUCGAGCGGAGAUGAGGUGCUUGCACCUUAUCUUAGCGGCGGACGGGUGAGUAAUGCUUAGGAAUCUGCCGAUUAGUGGGGGACAACAUUCCGAAAGGAAUGCUAAUACCGCAUACGUCCUACGGGAGAAAGCAGGGGACCUUCGGGCCUCGCGCUAAUAGAUGAGCCUAAGUCGGAUUAGCUAGUUGGUGGGGUAAAGGCCUACCAAGGCGACGAUCUGUAGCGGGUCUGAGAGGAUGAUCCGCAACACUGGGACUGAGAAACGGCCCAGACUCCUACGGGAGGCAGCAGUGGGGAAGAUUGGACAAUGGGCGGAAGCAUGAUCCAGCCAUGCCGCGUGUGUGAAGAAGGCCUUUUGGUUGUAAAGCACUUUAAGCGAGGAGGAGGCUACUUAGAUUAAUACUCUAGGAUAGUGGACGUUACUCGCAGAAUAAGCACCGGCUAACUCUGUGCCAGCCGCCGCCGUAAGAC